AUUGAACGCUGGCGGCAGGCUUAACACAUGCAAGUCGAGCGAGCGGCGGACGGGUGAGUAAUGUCUGGGAAACUGCAUGAUGGAGGGGGAUAACUACUGGAAACGGUAGCUAAUACCGCAUACCAUCAGAUGUGCCCAGAUGGGAUUGGCUAGUGGGUGGGGUAAUGGCUCACCUAGGCGACGAUCCCUAGCUGGUCUGAGAGGAUGACCAGCACCACGGGAACGAAGACGCGCACCAAAAUCCGACGGGAGACAGCAGGGAGGAAGAUUGGACAAUGGGCGCAAAGCUAAUGCGACCAAGCCGCGUGUGGGAAGAAGACCUUCGGGUUGUAAAGCACGUUCAUCGAGGAGGCGUUACUCGAAGAAGAAGCACCGGCUAACUCCGUGCCAGCAGCCGCGGUAAUAC
rnacentral:rRNA from 1 species